AGAAGAAGAAGAAGAAGAAAAGGAAAAUGUCUGAAUUUUCUUUGUCCUCAACUACCUCCAAGAAAGCUCAUUUCUCAAUCUCAAGUCUUCUCCUCUCUGAAUUCUUCCUCUUCUGUUCCUUCAUUUUGUGUCAUCCUUUAUAUUUCUUAUACCUCAUUUUCUUGUUUCCUUACCUCUUCAAGCUCCUCUCAUUCCUUUCUCCUCUUUUUGCUACUACUUUUCUUUUACUCUUAGUUCUCCUCACUUUCUCUCCUAAUCUUGUCCAUGAAACUCUGAGUCCUGAAUUGUCUGAAUCAAAAGUGAGUUUUGUACUUGGAACAUACCAAGCAGUUGUAGAGAGAUUGCGGUCUAAGGUAGAGGAAGGAGGGAAUGAUGAGUUUAAUCAAUUUGAGGAGCUAGAAGCGUAUAAGAUCGUGUUCGAGACUUCUAAUUUUGAUAUUGGAGUGGCAAUUACUGAGUUGGAAGCUAAAGAAAAUGGCCUAGAAAGCAAUGAAGCACAGGCUAACACGAGUUCAGGCCAUCAAGAUUCUGUUCUAGGCGUCUCUGAAGUUGUAAGUGGUAAUUUUAAUGAAAAUUCAGUUGUGAUUACAAGAUCAGAAAGUUCUCAGCUGAUUGCGGAAGGAAAUAAAUUAGAAGUAUUCUUGCAUCAAAAGCAGAAGUUCGAAGAUUUUGCAAUCCAAAAAGGAGAAAAAGAAGUCAAGCCACUGAGCGAGAACUCCAAUAAAGUUGAAGAACAGAAAGAGGAAACAUAUGUGAGAAGUGGAUCCAAGGCAAUGGGUUUUCUAGGAGAUGGUAAAGUAGGUGUGGAAGAUAGUAGAGUGUACAUUCCAAGGAUGAAUUCCCAAAAACUUGAAGCAAAUCCUUGGAUUGAUGCUAAUGAUGGUGAUGGAGAGUACACUCCCAGAGUUAUGGACAAAUCUCAGUCGAUGGGAUCAAAUCUUGGGAGUUUUGGAUCAAUGAGGAAAGAAAAAGAGUGGAGGAGGACAUUGGCAUGCAAGCUUUUUGAGGAGAGACGCAAUGUGGAUGGAGGUGAAGGGAUGGAUUUGCUUUGGGAGACAUAUGAGAAUGAUUCUAUGAAGGCGCAGGCAAAAAGCAAAACAAAGAAGGGAAAGAAAGGAAGCAUUGAGUACUAUGAUGAUGAUGAUGAAGAUGAAGAGGAAGAGAAUGAAGGGCAACUAUGUUGCUUGCAGGCUCUCAAAUUCUCAGCUGGGAAGAUGAAUUUGGGAAUGGGAAGGCCUAAUCUUGUCAAGAUCUCCAAGGCCCUGAAGGGGUUUGGAUGGUUGCACCAUGUGACCAAGAAGAAGGGUUACCGUUAAUUUAGUAAGAUUUUUUUUUUACAUGUCUUAAUCUUAAUGUUUAAGUGGCUCAACAAAUAUGUGUAUUUUGUUCAAGUAUCACAAGUAAAUAUGUUCUAUUCUUCUAUUUUGCAUGAAAGAUAAGAGUCUUUAUUCAGAAAUAAGGCAAAAAUAGUGUAUCAACUUAGAUGAUGAGAGGAUUAAUUCCACCAUUUUUUAUGGAUGUUAAGCUGUUGGUCUUGGCCAGUGGGUGCUCCUUUCCUCUGUUAAUAAAACUAGCAAUGAUAUGCUUUUGCAUUGCCA
rnacentral:misc_RNA from 1 species